rnacentral:rRNA from 1 species
UACGGGGGGAGCAAACGUUGCUCGGAAUCACUGGGCGUAAAGCGCACGUAGGCGGCUUUCUAAGUCAGGGGUGAAAUCCUGGAGCUCAACUCCAGAACUGCCUUUGAUACUGGGAAGCUCGAGUCCGGAAGAGGUGAGUGGAACUCCGAGUGUAGAGGUGAAAUUCGUAGAUAUUCGGAAGAACACCAGUGGCGAAGGCGGCUCACUGGUCCGGUACUGACGCUGAGGUGCGAAAGCGUGGGGAGCAAACAGG